GCCUAGCCCUGAUAGCAGUGAAAAUCCUUUAUAUUCCUGAAUUUGUUUCAGGAUUAUAAAGAUUGCAACGGAUAGCAGGAAUAGCU
rnacentral:sRNA from 1 species